rnacentral:rRNA from 1 species
UACGUAGGGGCAAGCGUUGUCCGGAAUCAUUGGGCGUAAAGCGCGCGUAGGCGGCCCUGUAAGUCCGUUGUGAAAGUCGAAGGCUCAACCUUCGAAAGCCGAUGGAUACUGCAGGGCUAGAGUCCGGAAGAGGCGAGUGGGAAUUCCUGGUGUAGCGGUGGAAUGCGCAGAUAUCAGGAGGAACACCAAUUGCGAAGGCAGCUCGCUGGGACGUUACUGACGCUGAGACGCGGAAAGCGUGGGGAGCGAACAGG